CGAACACCUUCCCACACAGUAGGCGCCUAGAGUUCCCUGUGUGAGUGAAGGAGUGACCCACGGCCUGGGCGCAUAAGCCUAGGGUGCUGGACCAUCACUUGCAUCGGAACAGAUGCCGAACGCACAAAGAAAGGAAUGUACUUUCUCAUGGGAAAGCCAGUCAACAACAUAUGGCCAAUGUAGGAGGGAACAUGUUCCUUUCCUAACAGGAAAAGAUGAAUCCGGCAUAGGAGAAGCUACGCUAUGGAAGGUCCUGCACUCCAAUGCUAAAGACACAUCUGGCUUCUGGAAGAUAAGACUUGCUUCCGUAACUUCAAGGCACCAACCCUCCUUUAAUGUAACUGUAUAAGGCAAUAUAUCAUUCGCUGUCCCUCUAUUCAUUGAGCUUACACUGCAUUUUGUAUCCGUGAAACACUAUAAAAAACUGCUUGUAACUUCCA